UCUCCUCAAACAAACACAUAUAUUUGUUUGACUAUGAAGGUGGUGCUUUGAAUGACUGAAUGCAUCACUGCUCCUAAACCAGUUUAAGAUGAACCACUGAGACAAGUGUGUGCAGUCUGUCUGACAGUGAGAUUAAUCAUCAUGAUGAUGUUACUGACUCCACUGCUGACCAUUCUGCUGUUAGGACUUCAAGGAUCAGGUGCCAGUCCAUCUGUGACUCAGUCUCCUAUAUCAAAGUCUGUUGGCUUGGGACAGACGGUCUCUCUGAGCUGUACAGCCAGUACAGGAGUUGGUGAUGAUCUCAGUUGGUACCUUCAGAAACCUGGACAGGCUCCCAAACUGUUGUUUUACAAAAUAAGUAGCCGUCAGUCUGGUACUCCGAGUCGUUUCAGCAGCAGUGGAUCUGAACCUGAAUUCACUCUGACAAUCAGUGGGGUUCAGGCUGAAGAUGCAGGAGAUUACUACUGUAUGGGUGCAUAUACGAGUGGGUCUCACAGUGAUUUGUCAUCGUACAAAAACCUCCCUCAGUCAGACCACAUACAGUUUGCUGUGUUGCAGCUGUGAGUUUCUGCAUCAGACCGACAUGGACGACUGGUUCACUGACAAUCACUCUGUAGUGUCAGAGGUGGAACGUAACAAAGUCUAUUCUAGUUCUGAGCACACUUUCAGA